UCUUUGAUCUAAUAUUAUUGUCAGGAUCCGAAUGUAGACCCAUAAAUACACCGAGAUGUGGCACGAACAUGAUUUCUGAUCAUUCAUGGAAUAACGUAACUCCCCCAUACCCAUUCAUUCAUUCAUUAUGUUUGAAGAAAGGAUGAACUAAUUAAAAUGAUCUGUCUCUAUCUCAGGGUAACAAACAUUUUACAGCUUUGCUUAUUUGAUCCCAUGUUCUGGAAUGUCUUUUAUGUGCCCUACCUUCCUUCUCUACAUUAUGGUCACAGAUGCAGCAGCAGCAGCAGCAGUACUUGGAUCUCUGCAUCUGCUCAGUUUCCAGUCAGUUCCUUAGCCAUACAUUACAUUCUGCAAAAAAAAAACAUUAUUCCUUCAGUAUAAAACCAUGAUGGAAAGACCCACAACCAUGAGAGCAAUUCCAGGGAAGCAAGGAUCAUUAUUUCCUCCUCACUUCCCUUUCCCACACAACAACAAAACAGCCAUAUUAGAUGCUUCUUACGACUCCGAGAUCAGCAUUUUCGACGCCCAGAAGUACUUCAACGAAGGCGGCACCGUACUCAACACCAAGAAAGUAUCAUCCCCUGUAAUUUCUACUA
rnacentral:lncRNA from 1 species